rnacentral:rRNA from 1 species
AUAAUACCGAUAGGUCUCGAUUGCUGGAAUGCAUCGAGAUUAAAGCUCCGGCGCCUAAGGAUGGGUCUGCGGCCUAUCAGGUAGUAGUGGGUGUAGCGUACCUACUAGCCUACGACGGGUACGGGUUGUGAGAGCAAGAGCCCGGAGAUGGAUUCUGAGACACGAAUCCAGGCCCUACGGGGUGCAGCAGGCGCGAAAACUUUACAAUGCUGGCAACAGCGAUAAGGGAACCUCGAGUGCCAGGUUACAAAUCUGGCUGUCGAGAUGCCUAAAAAGCAUUUCAUAGCAAGGGCCGGGCAAGACCGGUGCCAGCCGCCGCGGUAACACCGGCGGCUCGAGUGGUAACCGUUAUUAUUGGGUCUAAAGGGUCUGUAGCCGGCCGGAUAAGUCUCUUGAGAAAUCUGGCAGCUUAACUGUCAGGCUUUCAGGAGAUACUGUCUGGCUCGAGGCCGGGAGAGGUGAGAGGUACUUCAGGGGUAGGGGUGAAAUCUUGUAAUCCUUGAAGGACCACCAGUGGCGAAGGCGUCUCACCAGAACGGACCUGACGGCAAGGGACGAAAGCUAGGGGCACGAACCGGAUUAGAUACCCGGGUAGUCCUAGCCGUAAACGAUACUCGCUAGGUGU